rnacentral:rRNA from 1 species
UGAGUAACCUGCCCUUAACUCUGGGAUAAGCCUGGGAAACUGGGUCUAAUACCGGAUAUGACUCCUCAUCGCAUGGUGGGGGGGUGGAAAGCUUUUGUGGUUUUGGAUGGACUCGCGGCCUAUCAGCUUGUUGGUGAGGUAAUGGCUCACCAAGGCUACGACGGGUAGCCGGCCUGAGAGGGUGACCGGCCACACUGGGACUGAGACACGGCCCAGACUCCUACGGGAGGCAG